GAUGAACGCUAGCUACAGGCCUAACACAUGCAAGUCGAGGGACCGGCGCACGGGUGAGUAACACGUAUCCAACCUGCCCUUUACUCGGGGAUAGCCUUUCGCAAGAAAGAUUAAUACCUGAUAUAAAGGAUGGGGAUGCGUUCGAUUAGUUUGUGGGUGAGGGAACGGCCCACCAAGCCUUCGAUGGAUAGGGGUUCUGAGAGGAAGUGCCCCCACAUUGUAACUGAGACGCGGUCCAAACGCGUACGGGAGGCAGCAGUGAAGAAUAUAUGGGAAGGGGCGUUAGCCUGACCCAGCCAAGUAGCGUAAAGGAUGAAGGGUUGUGGGACUGAAACUUCUUUUAUAUAAGAGUCUGUAUUAUAUGAAUAAGGAUCGGCUAACUCCGUGCCAGCAGCCGCGGUAAUAC
rnacentral:rRNA from 1 species